rnacentral:rRNA from 1 species
UACGUAGGGUGCAGGCGUUAAUCGGAAUUACUGGGCGUAAAGCGUGCGCAGGCGGUUUCUUAAGUCAGAUGUGAAAGCCCCGGGCUUAACCUGGGAACUGCGUUUGAAACUGGGAGACUUGAGUGUGGCAGAGGGGGGUGGAAUUCCACGUGUAGCAGUGAAAUGCGUAGAUAUGUGGAGGAACACCGAUGGCGAAGGCAGCCCCCUGGGCCGAUACUGACGCUCAUGCACGAAAGCGUGGGGAGCAAACAGG